ACAUAUUUCUUCUUGGAUUUCUUCGUGCUAGAAAGUUUAACCUAGAAAGAUCGCUUAAACUUCUGAAGAAUUAUUAUUCUACAAGAAUAAAAUAUCCAUCCUUUUUUAAAAAUCUCUUCCCAUCGAAUUUUGAAAGUAUUUUACCAUUAAAUAUAAUAAGAAUAUUGCCGAAGCCUGAUCAACACGGGAGAAUUGUUAGUAUAAUAGAAAACGAGUGAUUGUUUUCAACUACGAUACAGAGAAAUCCAUUUUGUGAAUGUAAAUUCCGUAGUCAAAGGAAUAACGAAUAUUUUCGUCCCAUUUAUCCCCGAAAAAAUCGUAAAACGAAUGAUAAUGCAUAGUGAAGUAACGACUCUGCAUAAAUUUAUUCAUCCAAAAUAUCUUCCUGUUGCAUAUGGAGGAGAAUUACCCGAUUCCGAUUCACGAGAGUUCAUUGAAAUAUUGAAACAAAACGAAGGUUUCUUUCGACAAAACGAAAAAUACGUGAAAAUGUAUGACGAAGAGGUCAAACGAAGAUUCUCUGAAGGAACAUUCAAGUAUAUUGAUCGGAAUAAUGUGAAUUACGAAGACAAAGUUAUAAAUGAAGUAGAAGAGAAAUUCAACCGCAUUAAAGAGGAUCCAGAAUAUUACGCGAAACACUUUGAAAAAAAUGCUCUGUUCGAAGUCACGCAUUUGUAAAUCAAGAUAUUUGCAUAUCUUAGUGUAUUAAUUCUGGUAUAAUACUAUACUAUUGUUGUUAAGAACAUUAUAUAAAUGAUAUUUUAUUUUUAAAAACAUUCGAAUUCUCAGGAUACUGAACUUAUAUACUGUAUACGGGAUGAUUUUACUUAAAAGUUAAAAUUUAUCAAUUGAUAUAUGUAUGGAUUAUUUUUGUGAUUGUAAUUAAAAUAAAUG